AAGUCGGACACACUGUACUUUGACCCCAACAUAGUUAUGUUAUUUUGAUCUUCUUUGAGGAUGAAGGACCACAACCAGCUUCAGAUAUGAAUGAGUUUUGUGAGAUGCAUACUCUCCCUAAUUAUGAUAAAUAGGUCUAAAGAAAAGGGCAAGAUGGCUCUCUGCUAAGUACACCAUAUUCAAACUAUUGGGUAUGAGACCUUCCCCAUGGACACCACUGGAAAGAGAACAAUUGGGCCUUCGUCAAAUAGUCAGCCAAUGGAAAGAGGCUGCUCCCAAUGACCUGGUGGGCCAACAGGAAUGUCCUCUCCCAGAAAGAGGUCCCCGUUGUCUCUCCAAGGAGUGCCUCCACCUUAAGUGAUCCAGUGAGAAGACUGGAUUAAAGGGGCCUGGAGUCUCUCCUGACCCGAAAACUAUAAUCCUAUGGAAGAUCAGAGAAAACCUCCAAGAAGAGGAUAAAUUUGUGCUGGGCUUUGAAGAAUGGAUAGAAUUUGGAUCAGUAUAGUAUACUUGAUUUCAGGCAAGGAAAUUGCACAAAUGAAAGGAGAGUAGAUCUUGUUCCUAGAAAAGGUUAAUUUAGGAAAUUAUAAAAUUGUUUGUAUAUAACAACUAUGGUCCUUACCCUUAAACCAGGGAGAUAUAAAACAGAGAAUGAAAACUGUAGACCACUAACUGUAGACUAUCAAACUAUUGAAUAUCACCUUAGAGAUUACAGCAUUAUAUUAAAAAAUAUUGUAUUAUUCGCUGUAAUCAGAUUGGAUUUAU